CAAUCGUAUCCUAUCAAACCAAUGGCUUUUCUUAUCCUAUCAAAAUGCCUAGCCCUUAAACAGAAUUGAAACAGGGGUAUUUGCUUCAUUGCAAGUGGAAGUUUUCAUUGGGCUUAGAGCAAAUCAAACCCGGUAUACAAUUUUGCUCAAAAAUUUCCACUCUUUGGAAACCGCUGGCCAUGCUCAUCUCCAAAUCCUUUUAUCCAAGAAAAAGGAUGUGAAGAUUGAGAAAGAGAGGGAGAGUGAGAGAUCCGUGGUGAAGAGAUUUAGGGUUUUCGAUUGUUGACAGAGGACUCGUACGAGGAGCUCCAUUUCUCCUACAAUUCAGAGACAACAUAAUGUAAGGGAAACCCACCAUUCUUCUUCCUCUUCACCACCUUUGAAUUCUCUGGCCUCCGUGUAACCACCUUACCACCGUGACUUUUUGCCAAACGCUCUUUAUACUGUACUGAAUCCUGUGCUACAGUGCUUGACAUCACAUGCCCAUCCUCUUCCAAAAUAUGUAUGAGCUAUCCGUUAAUUCUUAGAUUCUCAAAAUGUCAAAAUGCAAAUUCUGACUUAUUGAACCUACACAUUAUGCUUGACA